CCAUUGUGGUUUAAUGGUUUGAGCACUGGACUAUGACUCUGGAGACCAGGGUUCAAAUCCUGGCAUGACCAUGGA